rnacentral:rRNA from 1 species
UACGUAAGGUGCAGGCGUUAAUCGGAAUUACUGGGCGUAAAGCGUGCGCAGGCGGCUUCUCAAGUCAGAUGUGAAAUCCCCGGGCUUAACCUGGGAACUGCGUUUGAAACUGGGAGGCUAGAGUGUGGCAGAGGGGGGUGGAAUUCCACGUGUAGCAGUGAAAUGCGUAGAUAUGUGGAGGAACACCGAUGGCGAAGGCAGCCCCCUGGGCCUGCACUGACGCUCAUGCACGAAAGCGUGGGGAGCAAACAGG